rnacentral:rRNA from 1 species
AUUGAACGCUGGCGGCAUGCCUUACACAUGCAAGUCGAACGGCAGCAUGAUCUAGCUUGCUCGAUUGAUGGCGAGUGGCGCACGGGUGAGUAAUACAUCGGAACGUGCCCUGUAGUGGGGGAUAACUAGUCGAAAGAUUAGCUAAUACCGCAUACAACCUGAGGGUGAAAGUGGGGGACCGCAAGGCCUCUUGUUAUAGAAGCGUCCGAUGUCUGAUUAGCUAGUUGGUGAGGUAAAGGCUCACCAAGGCGACGAUCAGUAGCUGGUCUGAGAGGACGAUCAGCCACACUGGAACUGAGACACGGCCCAGACUCCUACGGGAGGCAGCAGUGGGGAAUUUUGGACAAUGGGCGAAAGCCUGAUCCAGCAAUGCCGCGUGUGUGAAGAAGGCCUUCGGGUUGUAAAGCACUUUUGUCCGGAAAGAAAUGGCUCGGGUUAAUACCUGGGGUCGAUGACGGUACCGGAAGAAUAAGGACCGGCUAACUACGUG